AUUGGUCCCCUCUCCUUUUUCCCUUUGAUAAUUAUUCUCUUAAAUAAUAUUCCCUAUCUUUAGAACAGCUUAUAUGGAUUUGAGUUGCAAAUUCCCUUUUCAAUCAUCAUCUUCAUCUUCAUCCUGGGCUGUAAUCGUCUACUCACCGUGGCUGAAAUACCGGAUUUUUCCACCGCCGUCCGAUCAUUUGACUCCUCGGAUACCGGAUUUUCGACGUAUUACUGAAAUACCUUAGUAGUAAUUGCGUUUUAAUUUCGCCAAGCCAAGCCAAGCAUAUUUAACAGGACCUCUGAACACAAAGAUGUCACAGAGGAGAGGUAAAACGUCUAGUUGGACUGUAUUUGACCUGACUACUUCUGCAAGUGUACAACCUCUGGACACAAAAAUGUCGCGGAGGAGAGGUAAAACGUCUGGUUGUACUGCAUUUGACCUUGAACAUCGUCGUAAGCAGCGUCCUGAACCUGAAGCAAAGGAAUUUUUUCCAGCAAUAUCAAGCUCAAUGGAGCAAAGUCAGAAAGCCUUGACAAACAUAGCAGAUAUAACUGCAUCGGAGAAGCAUUUUGCGUCUCUACUACAGGAUGCUGUCAAAUUUCAGAUCAAGCCGAAACGCAGCGAUAUGCAUGAAAAGAAAUUGCAGGGUGGUUGCUCUAGUGGUGUCAAAGAUGCUUUGAAGGCAAAUGGAAUGCUUAAGGAGCUCCAUCCUUGGGCAGACCAAUACCUGAUUGAGGAUGUUUUGGCUGGUGUAGACUAUGAUGUUGAUAAGGCCUCAUCCUUAUUGAAAAUGAUGGUUUCCUCUGAGCAAAGAUACAAUAAUAUUAAAAUUACUGGGACUGAUGAAUUAAAGUUCAAUCGUAAGAAGUCUCUUGUGAAUGAAAAUAAGUCAUUAGCUGAAAAGGACACAGAUCUUUCUCAAGUGAUGCGUCUUCUUGAGGGUCUUGUGCUUAGCAAUAAUCGAGAUUUGACAGAUGAACGUGCUUCUUCGAGGAGAAUGCUUCUGCAUGAUGUCUUUGCUACAAAAAUGAUUCUGAAUUCUAUCAAAUCUUUACCCAUUGAGCGGGAAGAAGAUGAUGUUUACUUGGCUCAAAGAAAAGAGGCACAAAAGAUGACGAGUUCAGCAUCUCGGAACUCUAAGGCUUCCGUGGAUGCCUAUCUGAGAGGGGAUCACUUAUCUGCCCAACUCUAUUCGCGGAAAGCUCGUGAAGAAUGGCUGACUGCUAAACAACUAAAUGCCAAGGCAGCAAAAGAAAUUCUGAGAAUCAAGAAUUUGAAGAAUGAUGAGUGGACAUUAGAUUUGCAUGGUCUUCAUGCUGCAGAAGCAGUCCAAGCCUUGCAAGAACAUUUGCAGAGGAUUGAAUCUCAGAUGCCUACAAAACAGCUUGCUUGUGCUAGAAGAUUCAAUGCAAUUCAAUCUCAGAUGCCUUGUGCUAGAAUAGUCCAUCUAUCUCAGAUGCCUAUUGCUUGUGCUAGAAUAGUCCAUUUAUCUCAGAUGCCUGCUAGAAGAUUCAAUGUAAUGGCAGGAAUUGUAUCUUCCACAGCUCCUAAUGUUGCAAUUUUUAGGGAUUUGGAAGAGUGUGAUAGCCAGAUUCCAUUGUUUAGGCCAAGACCAGCAUCUGUAGAAGUAAUAACAGGAAAAGGCAAGCAUAGUCGGGGUGAAGCCACACUUCCUCCAGCCAUUAGGAGCUUUCUCAAUGAAAAUAGAUAUCACUAUAGUGAAACACGACCUGGGGUGAUUGAAGUACAAAUCAAAUUCCGGUGAUGAUGAGCUCUGUGCAUUACACUAUCUUGCAAUGAGGGAGUUCUCCUUAUUUGAUAUGUAUCAUAGAUUGGUCUUUGGUAUUUUGCGUUCAGAUUGAUGUCAAUGAAGUUUUACAAGGAGAAGUAGACAGCCUGUUUCUUCUUCAUAUUGCAUUUCUGUUGUUUGCAUGCCAGUGUGGCUAUGUAGCUACUUAAGACUUAAGUACCUCGCCAGAAUGGUGGCCACAUGUAGUAUAUGCUUGUGGAACUAUAACAAAAUUGUUACUGUGUGCAGAAAUGAGGAUGGUGGUUGCAUGAAGAUUUUUCUGGAUCUUUCUUUGGUUUGUGGAUCUCUUUUGAUAAAGUUUGUUUUGGCUCUUGCUAACUAUGGACACCUAUAUAGUGGACGAAUGGAAUCUCUUGCCUCCUUCAAUGCACGCUUUUGGCUAAGCAACUGUAUCAGAAUUGGCUGCCGUUGCAUAAUGACACUUUACCUUGGCAAUUUGAAGCAAACUAGUAUAAUCUUGGCAGAGUAUCCUGAAUUAAAGGGUUAGACAUUAAUUUUCUUGUUCACGUGGAAUCAUUAAAUAAAAAUUGUCUUGGCAGAAAGUACCCUAUGUGAGAGGCUUAACAAAAAUGUCUUGGCUGAAGUACUCCAAAUGAGAGGAUUCAAUGCUACUUUUCUUGAC